UCAACGCUAGUAUUUACCAUAUAUAUUAAAAAUUGAUUUACAAAUCAUAAGGCAACUAAUCACAAAAAUCAAACUAAAUCAAUUCCACCAAUCUACUAAAUCAAUUUAGUACUGUCAUUUAGGAAUAGGCAUAAUCAAUAUUUUAUCAUAAAUGCAGAAUCAAAUUUCUGUCAGUAUCAAUUAAAUCAAAUGUAAUACAAGUAUAACAUCUUUAUAGAACAAACAGAGAUAAACACGUAAUUAAACGGAUUGAAUCAACAUUCAAAGUCAGAUAUUACAAACUUUAACAGAUUAAUUUAGGUAAUUUGCACCUAAAGAAAAAAAAGAACAUGCAAAUUAAACCAAAGAAAAUAAUUAUGCAAUUAAAGGAUUGAGGAAUCAAAUAGUAUAAUAGUCGGGUUCACCAAAAGGGACCUCACCGGUCCCCAAUUUUGAUGAGAACGUGACCGGUGAGAAGAGGGAGAGGUUGAAUCGCAGUUGGGGCUACGUUGCUGGUUCACGACUGUUGGAGGAGGCCACGAUGAUGGCGGAGCGGUGGAGGACAGGCGGUGGGAUACCGCUGCGGUUGUUGGCAGCGUUGAUUGGGCCUGGUUCCGCCGUCUGAAGAGGUGGCGGGCUGAUAUUAAUGUCCGUUCGAGGGGAGCUUAGACAUUUUACUAACCGAAUGAUACAUCUAGUGGCACUGGCUGGGAGGUGCUAAUUUUGGUUGUCCGAUGGCGGGAUUGAUGGUCGGAGCAAUUUUCCCUUGGUUUUCCCAAUGGCUGACGACGAAGAGGGGAGGGCGACGCAGUGGUUGGUUUGUCCUCCAACCAUUGGUGGUUGUUGUCGCUGUUGAUACUGCCUCAGACUCACCAGUCAUCAAUUCUGGCAAGUCAUCGAUGAGAGUGAGAGUCAGAAGAGAGCGAGAGGGAGGCAGCUGGAUUUUUCUCCAACCUAUGGUGGCUGGCCGGCGGUGGCAUCCAUAGUUAUGGUAUAGAAAAAAGUGAGGCUAGAGAGAAGGUAAAGAAAGAAAAGGUAGAGAGAGAGCCAAGGGAGGCGGA
rnacentral:lncRNA from 1 species